CAGCUCCAAUAGCGUAUAUUAAAGUUGUUGCGGUUAAAAAGCUCGUAGUUGGUUCUGCGUGCCACGCUGUCGGUUCACCGCCUGUCGGUGCAACUGGCAUGCCGUGGCAUGUCCUGUCGGUGGCUGACAGGCUUCGCGGCGCGCCCUAUGCGUUCAUACGUGUAGGCAGUUGCGCCGCGUCGUCCUUGUAGGCCGGCUCAAUCCUACCGCGGUGCUCUUUGCCGAGUGUCGAGGUAGGCCGACACUGUUUACUUUGAACAAAUUAGAGUGCUUCAAGCAGGCUCUGAAAGCAGCCUGAAUAGUGGUGCAUGGAAUAAUGGAACAGGACCUUGGUUCUAUUUUGUUGGUUUUCGGAAUCCAAGGUAAUGAUCAAUAAGGACAGGCGGGGGCAUUCGUAUUGCGACGUUAGAGGUGAAAUUCUUGGAUCGUCGCAAGACGCACUAGAGCGAAAGCAUCUGCCAAGUAUGUCUUAAUUGAUCAAGAACGAAAGUUAGAGGUUCGAAGGCGAUCAGAUACCGCCCUAGUUCUAACCAUAAACGAUGCCAGCCAGCGAUCCGCCGAUGUUCCUCCGAUGACUCGGCGGGGAGCUUCCCCCGGGAAACCAAAGCUUUUGGGUUCCGGGGGAAGUAUGGUUGCAAAGCUGAAACUUAAAGGAAUUGACGGAAGGGCACCACAAGGAGUGGAGCCUGCGGCUUAAUUUGACUCAACACGGGAAACCUCACCAGGCCCGGACAUUGGAAGGAUUGACAGAUCGAUAGCUCUUUCUCGAUUCAGUGGGUAGUGG
rnacentral:rRNA from 1 species